GUUCACAGAUGGUACCUGUGAGGAUCUGACGGGUCGUUGUUACUGUAAACCCAGCUACACCGGAGCGAACUGUGACUCCUGUGCUGAGGGAUACAUUAACUUCCCAGGCUGCUACCCAAACGACCUCAACAACAACACCGACAGAGAGGUCAAACCUGCCGGAGAAAUCAUCAACUGUGAGUGCAGUGCUGCGGGUACGGAGGGAAACUCCUGCA